GCUGGGUGCGGUGGGCAUGCCUGUAGUCCCAGCUACUUGGGAGGCUGAGGCUGGAGGAUCGCUUGAGUCCAGGAGUUCUGGGCUGUAGUGCGCUAUGCCGAUCGGGUGUCCACACUAAGUUCAGUGUCAAUAUGGUGACCUCCCGGGGGUAGGGGACCACCAGGUUGCCUAAGGAGGGGUGAACCGGCCCAGGUAGGAAAUGGAGCCAGUCAAAACUCCCAUGCUGAUCAGUAGUGGGAUCGUGCCUGUGAAUAGCCACUGCAUGCCAGCCUGGGCAACAUAUCGAGAACUUGUCUCU
ensembl:misc_RNA Metazoa_SRP Metazoan signal recognition particle RNA